rnacentral:rRNA from 1 species
CAGUAGCCGCGGUAAUACAGAGGGUGCGAGCGUUAAUCGGAUUUACUGGGCGUAAAGCGUGCGUAGGCGGCUUCUUAAGUCGGAUGUGAAAUCCCUGAGCUUAACUUAGAAAUUGCAUUCGAUACUGGGAAGCUAGAGUAUGGGAGAGGAUGGUAGAAUUCCAGGUGUAGCGGUGAAAUGCGUAGAGAUCUGGAGGAAUACCGAUGGCGAAGGCAGCCAUCUGGCCUAAUACUGACGCUGAGGUACGAAAGCAUGGGGAGCAAACAGGAUUAGAUACCCGCGUAGUCCCUGUCUCUUAUAC